UACGAAGGGGGCUAGCGUUGCUCGGAAUCACUGGGCGUAAAGGGUGCGUAGGCGGGUCUUUAAGUCAGGGGUGAAAUCCUGGAGCUCAACUCCAGAACUGCAUUGGAUACUGCCAUGCUAGAGUACUGGAGAGGAAACUGGAAUUUACGGUGUAGCAGUGAAAUGCGUAGAGAUCGUAAGGAAGACCAGUGGCGAAGGCGAGUUUCUGGACAGUAACUGACGCUGAGGCACGAAGGCCAGGGGAGCAAACGGG
rnacentral:rRNA from 1 species